UACGGAGGGUGCAAGCGUUAUCCGGAUUUACUGGGUUUAAAGGGUGCGUAGGUGGGCAGGAAAGUCAGUGGUGAAAUCUCCGGGCUUAACCCGGAAACUGCCAUUGAUACUAUUUGUCUUGAAUACUGUGGAGGUCAGCGGAAUAUGUCAUGUAGCGGUGAAAUGCUUAGAUAUGACAUAGAACACCAAUUGCGAAGGCAGCUGGCUACACAAAUAUUGACACUGAGGCACGAAAGCGUGGGGAUCAAACAGG
rnacentral:rRNA from 1 species